GGCAGUGUGGCGCAGUGGUUAGAGCGCCGGGCUGUGAGCGAGGCGACCAGGGUUCGACUCCUCGCACUGGGUGACCU